rnacentral:tRNA from 1 species
UCUCCCCUAGGUUAAUUUAAACCAUCGGCUUGUGGAGCCGGGAAUCUCUGGUUUGGAGGAGAA